UUGGGGGAACUCCGAAAACAGGAAGACAGAAAAGUCACAAGAACAGGCUUAACGAGAAGCUGGGUUUUAGUGAGAAUAAAAUUGGACAAGUAAGGAAUGUCAAUGGGGGCUGGAGGACAUCCGAAUAGAGAGGGAAGACAGAAACAAGCCCAGUCGGUGUAAGAGAAAAAUGAGCUUACUAAAAAGAGGGUGUCCUAGCACAUACAGCAGAGAGGACAGAGCAAAAGUAAGGAGUCCAUGAAAGCCACAAAAGGCACAAGACUCCAUGCACAGCAAGAAGACUCACAGGGUCAAACAGGAGUGAGAGGGAGUUGUGCCUCUAGAAAAAGGCAAGGCACCAAGAGGACAGCUGUCAAGACACUAAUGCUGAGUGACAAGCACUAAGUUAAAGAAGAAAGCUACCAGACACGGCGAAUGUCAAAAGAUGUGGAGGCUGCGGCUAUAGAAGACUGACUGCUAUUAUCUAUGUCUGACGAGAUUUCCUUCAAACAGUUCAAGCAAAGCAACACAUUGCAGCAAAUUAAACGCAGAAGCAGCGAUGAGAUUCCAGAUGUCUUCUGUUAGGCUAAACUUUAAAGAACUUGCAAAAAUGCAAAAUAAUUUCAAUUCUGUCAUUUAAUCUUCUUUCAUUGUGAAAGUAUGUUCCUUUUUCAUAAAACUACAUUGUGAUGACAUA